rnacentral:rRNA from 1 species
GACGAACGCUGGCGGCGUGCUUAACACAUGCAAGUCGAACGGAAAGGCCUCUUUCGGGGGGUACUCGAGUGGCGAACGGGUGAGUAACACGUGAGUAACUUGCCCUUGCCUUUGGAUUAACUUAAGAAACCGGGGGUAAAUCCCGGAUGGAGGCCCCGCCGCCUGGGGGGGGGUGGGAAAUUUCGGCGGUUGGGGAUGGACUCGCGGGUUAUCAGCUUGUUGGUGGGGUAGUGGCUUACCAAGGCUUUGACGGGUAGCCGGCCUGAGAGGGUGACCGGCCACAUUGGGACUGAGAUACGGCCCAGACUCCUACGGGAGGCAGCAGUGGGGAAUAUUGCACAAUGGGUGGAAGCCUGAUGCAGCAACGCCGUGUGCGGGAUGACGGCCUUCGGGUUGUAAACCGCUUUCGCUCAUGACGAAGCUUUGUGUGACGGUAGUGGGUAAAGAAGCACCGGCUAACUACGUG